rnacentral:tRNA from 1 species
GCCUGAGUGGCUCAGUCGGUGGAGUGUCCGACUUCGGCUCAGGUCCUGAUCUCACAGAUCGUGGGUUCGAGCCCCGCGUCGGGCU